GGGAGCCUGAACACAGGUGCUGCAUGGCUGUCGUCAGCUCGUGUCGUGAGAUGUUGGGUUAAGUCCCGUAACGAGCGCAACCCUUGUCCUUAGUUGCCAGCGGUUCGGCCGGGAACUCUAAGGAGACUGCCGGUGAUAAACCGGAGGAAGGUGGGGGCGACGUCAAGUCAUCAUGGCCCUUAUGGGCAGGGCUACACACGUGCUACAAUGGCCAGUACAGAAGGUUGCCAACCCGCGAGGGGGAGCUAAUCCUGAAAAGCUGGUCGUAGUCCGGAUCGCAGUCUGCAACUCGACUGCGUGAAGUCGGAAUCGCUAGUAAUCGCGAAUCAGCAUGUCGCGGUGAAUACGUUCCCGGGCCUU
rnacentral:rRNA from 1 species